AUUUUAACAAACUGUGUUAUUUGUGGUAGAUAAAACAAGAGCUAGGAGGACAAGUUCGUAUAAUGUUUGUCUGGUGCUGCACCUUUGCCCAGGCAUGUGGAGGAAUUUGUCAGAAGGAUAUGGCCUUACUGAAAGCUGUGGUGGGUGUUUUACGUCCCUUGGCAAUGUUCAUCCUAUGAUUGGAACUGUUGGUGCUCCCCUGACAACUGUUGAAGCGCGGCUUGGGUCAGUCCCAGAACUGGGAUAUGAUGCACCUUCUAGUGUGCCAUGUAGAGAGAUUUUCCUAAGAGGAAAAAACCUUGUUUUCAUUGAACGUGCAAAUAUUAAACUGAAUGAAGAGAAAAGUGCACGGAAGUAGCAAAAAAAUCCAUCACCACUCAUUGAUUUUGGUUUCAUGGUACUUUGCUUAAUUUGAUUACCUUUGCUUGAUUAAAUUUGUCUCAAUUCUGAUA